GACGAACGCUGGCGGCGUGCUUAACACAUGCAAGUCGAACGGAAAGGCCUGCUUUCCCUUGUGGAUUGCGGGUACUCGAGUGGCGAACGGGUGAGUAACACGUGAGUUAUCUGCCCCCAACUUUUGUAUAAGCCUGGGAAACUGGGUCUAAUUCCCGAUAGGACUGCAGGGUGGUGCCUGUGGUUGAAAACGAUUUUCUAGUGGUUGGGGAUUAGCUCGCGGCCUAUCAGCUUGUUGGUGGGGUAAUGUCCUACCAAGGCGGGGACGGGUAGCCGGCCUGGGAGAGUGGGCCGGCACAGUGGGACGGCGACACGGGCCCGGAUACUACGCGAGGACGCCGUCGGGAGUCAUGAAUAAUGGGUGGAAGCCUGAUGGAGGGACGCCGAGUGAGGGAUGACGGGUUUCGGGUGGUAACCUCCUUGCGACAGCGAGGAAGCCACCUGGUUGGAAGGGUGGUGACGGUAGUGGUAGAAGAAGCACCGGCUAACUACGUG
rnacentral:rRNA from 1 species